AUACAGAGGGUGCAAGCGUUAAUCGGAAUUACUGGGCGUAAAGCGCGCGUAGGCGGUUUGAUAAGUCGGAUGUGAAAUCCCUGGGCUCAACCUGGGAACUGCAUUCGAAACUGUCUGACUAGAGUAUGGUAGAGGGUGGUGGAAUUCCUAGUGUAGCGGUGAAAUGCGUAGAUAUUAGGAGGAACAUCAGUGGCGAAGGCGACCACCUGGACCAAUACUGACGCUGAGGUGCGAAAGCGUGGGGAGCAAACAGGAUUAGAUACCCUAGUAGUCC
rnacentral:rRNA from 1 species